CACGUAGGGGCCAAGCGUUGUCCGGAUUUAUUGGGCGUAAAGAGCUCGUAGGCGGUUGGGUAAGUCGGGUGUGAAAACUCUGGGCUCAACUCAGAGACGCCACCCGAUACUGCUCUGACUUGAGUCCGGUAGGGGAGUGGGGAAUUCCUGGUGUAGCGGUGAAAUGCGUAGAUAUCAGGAAGAACACCGGUGGCGAAGGCGGCUCUCUGGGCCUUACCUGACGCUGAGGAGCGAAAGCGUGGUAGCGAACAGG
rnacentral:rRNA from 1 species